UUCAUCCUGGCUGUACUAUUGUGGUUCUUCUGCUAGACAAUCAUAUUUAUCUAUCCUUCCCAACACCCAAUAUCUCUGCAAGCCCCUCCAACACCACCCCAUAUCUUUGAGGACCCCGAGCAAAUGUCCUGAGCAUUCAGCGCUGCCCAAGUCAGAGGUUCUGGGUGCCACCCCAUCACUCAUUGCCACACAUUCAAGGUGGCCUGCCACCUCCCCAGGGGCCUCGUUGUCCUCAUUGUCACCCACCCAUGUUGUUCCACUGGUGCCAGCCCACAACCACACCCAUUAGCAGGACCAUGAAUAGGAGAGACCCACAGCGGGGUGGAGACAUGGCAUUCCCUGAGGACUCAUUAGAGAAACUGAGGGUCUGGGCUGGAAGGGAGAAGGGACAGGGCUGGUGGGGGUAGCCCUGCAGGGACAGCAACCCCAGGGGGAUUAGGUGAAGUUUCUCUCCCCAACAUUUUUCUGUUCCUGUCCCCCACAUCAACCCCACAACUCUGGUCACACUGGGGUCCAUGCCCUGCUGGCAUUGCAGAGGACCCCGCAGCCCCCCUGUAGCCCACUCCCCACUGGUCUCUGUCUCACCAGGGCCCAUCCCCAGGAUGUCAGGCCUGUGCCUGAGGCACUCACCCCACAGGAGCAGUGCCACCUCUCCAGCCAUCCCUUUGUCCCCAGCCAUGUGGACUGGCUGUCACUGGCUGCUGUGGCCACCCCUCUCCUGGCUGGUGGAUCUUUGGAUGAAGGGGAAGGAAGCGAGGUCACAUCUCGUCCCCAUGUGAAUCCAAUGGAGCACCUAAGCAGUGAACAGGGACUUUGAGAGCCACAAAACUACUGUAAAUCCCACAACACUCUGCUUAACGACCUGACCUGGACCCUCCUUCUCCUUCCUGCCUUGCUGUGGGUAGACAGUGGCCGGAUGCCCUGCACCCACCACAGCCACUUUCUCACUGCCCGCUUGUCCUGGCUUGUAAAAUAAGCAUGUAUUCUAUUUACCAUCUGUUGGAGGUUGGGCAGUUUUCUUACCUCUUCCAAGAACAAUGUCUCCCUCUGGGAAAAAUCUUCUGUUAAUGGGCCAUGGAAUGACUCACUGCAUGACUGAUAAAGUCACAUCAUCACAUUGUGAGAUGGUCCACCCAGAGGGAGGAGCCAAGCACCCCCACCUGGAUAAAAUCAGCAUUUUUUAGGACAUCAGAGCAGCCUCUUCGCUGGAUUCCCAGAGGAGCAGCUUAUUCUCUGCUGCAUUCCCAGAGGAGCAGCUUCUUCCCUGCUGGAUCCCCAGGGGAAGACCAGGCCCCUCUACUCUAUCACUAGACCUUCAGAGAAAACUACACUCUUCUACAGAUCAUCACUUCAGCAGCAUUUCAUCUGCCACUCCAGGGCGAGCAGCCACCAUUUAACUGGACUAUUACCAACACCCUGACUCCUCAGG